UCUCUCUCUCUCUCUCUCUCUCUCUCUCUCUCUUGAUUAUGGAAUGUAUAUCUAUAACUAAAUGAAGGGUUCUCAACUUUGGGGUAGACGUAUCUCCUGUGGUAGACUACUGGAGAGGAAUUCUGUGGAUACGUGACAGGUAAUACAAUAGUCACUCUUGCUAGUUUUCUAUAGAUCGCGUCGUUUCUCACGCGUACGAAACAGGUACCGUCAUCACAAGCACGACUGUUAACACGCAGAUAUCAAAAGAUUUCCUUCUCUCGUGUGUCAUACUUUGAAGGUUUCGAGCAUGGAGAAUUGUUAAAUCAAGAGCAGGUACCGUCAUCACAAAUAAGACAUCAGAAAAUUUCCUUCUCUCGUGUGCCAUGCCUUGAAAGGUGGUGAAGUAGAAGUGGCUGGACACUGGAGUAUGGAAGA
rnacentral:lncRNA from 1 species